AGAGUUUGAUCCUGGCUCAGGACGAACGCUGGCGGCGUGCCUAAUACAUGCAAGUAGAACGCUGAAGAGAGGAGCUUGCUCUUCUUGGAUGAGUUGCGAACGGGUGAGUAACGCGUAGGUAACCUGCCUUGUAGCGGGGGAUAACUAUUGGAAACGAUAGCUAAUACCGCAUAACAAUGGAUGACACAUGUCAUUUAUUUGAAAGGGGCAAUUGCUCCACUACAAGAUGGACCUGCGUUGUAUUAGCUAGUAGGUGAGGUAAUGGCUCACCUAGGCGACGAUACAUAGCCGACCUGAGAGGGUGAUCGGCCACACUGGGACUGAGACACGGCCCAGACUCCUACGGGAGGCAGCAGUAGGGAAUCUUCGGCAAUGGGGGCAACCCUGACCGAGCAACGCCGCGUGAGUGAAGAAGGUUUUCGGAUCGUAAAGCUCUGUUGUAAGUCAAGAACGGGUGUGAGAGUGGAAAGUUCACACUGUGACGGUAGCUUACCAGAAAGGGACGGCUAACUACGUGCCAGCAGCCGCGGUAAUACGUAGGUCCCGAGCGUUGUCCGGAUUUAUUGGGCGUAAAGCGAGCGCAGGCGGUUUGAUAAGUCUGAAGUUAAAGGCUGUGGCUCAACCAUAGUUCGCUUUGGAAACUGUCAAACUUGAGUGCAGAAGGGGAGAGUGGAAUUCCAUGUGUAGCGGUGAAAUGCGUAGAUAUAUGGAGGAACACCGGUGGCGAAAGCGGCUCUCUGGUCUGUAACUGACGCUGAGGCUCGAAAGCGUGGGGAGCGAACAGGAUUAGAUACCCUGGUAGUCCACGCCGUAAACGAUGAGUGCUAGGUGUUGGAUCCUUUCCGGGAUUCAGUGCCGCAGCUAACGCAUUAAGCACUCCGCCUGGGGAGUACGACCGCAAGGUUGAAACUCAAAGGAAUUGACGGGGGCCCGCACAAGCGGUGGAGCAUGUGGUUUAAUUCGAAGCAACGCGAAGAACCUUACCUGGUCUUGACAUCCUUCUGACCGGUCCUUAACCGGACCUUUCCUUCGGGACAGGAGAGACAGGUGGUGCAUGGUUGUCGUCAGCUCGUGUCGUGAGAUGUUGGGUUAAGUCCCGCAACGAGCGCAACCCCUAUUGUUAGUUGCCAUCAUUCAGUUGGGCACUCUAGCGAGACUGCCGGUAAUAAACCGGAGGAAGGUGGGGAUGACGUCAAAUCAUCAUGCCCCUUAUGACCUGGGCUACACACGUGCUACAAUGGUUGGUACAACGAGUUGCGAGUCGGUGACGGCGAGCUAAUCUCUUAAAGCCAAUCUCAGUUCGGAUUGUAGGCUGCAACUCGCCUACAUGAAGUCGGAAUCGCUAGUAAUCGCGGAUCAGCACGCCGCGGUGAAUACGUUCCCGGGCCUUGUACACACCGCCCGUCACACCACGAGAGUUUGUAACACCCGAAGUCGGUGAGGUAACCUUUUGGAGCCAGCCGCCUAAGGUGGGACAGAUGAUUGGGGUGAAGUCGUAACAAGGUAGCCGUAUCGGAAGGGGCG
rnacentral:rRNA from 1 species